GGANUCACUGGGCGUAAAGGACGCGUAGGCGGAUUNCCAAGUCUCUUGUGAAAUCUAACGGCUCANCCGUUAAACUGCUUGGGAAACUGAUAAUCUAGAGUAAGGGAGAGGCAGAUGGAAUUCUUGGUGUAGGGGUAAAAUCCGUAGAUAUCAAGAAGAAUACCUAUUGCGAAGGCGAUCUGCUGGAACUUAACUGACGCUAAUGCGUGAAAGCGUGGGGAGCAAACAGGAUUAGAUACCCUGGUAGUNCACGCCCUAAACGAUGUAUACCGGUUGUUGCUGUGCUGGUCACGGCAGUAAUCCACCUAACGGAUUAAGUAUACCGCCUGGGGAGUACGGUCGUAAGAUUAAAACUCAAAGGAAUAGACGGGGACCCGCACAAGCGGUGGAGCAUGUGGUUUAAUUCGAAGAUACGCGAAGAACCUUACCCGGACUUGAUAUCUAACAAAUCAUCCAGAGAUGGAAGAGUGUCUGCUUGCAGAAAUGUUAAGACAGGUGCUGCACGGCUGUCGUCAGCUCGUGUCGUGAGAUGUUGGGUUAAGUCCCGCAACGAGCGCAACCCACGUCAUUAGUUGCUAACGGUUCGGCCGAGCACUCUAAUGAGACUGCCUUCGUAAGGAGGAGGAAGGUGUGGACGACGUCAAGUCAUCAUGGCCCUUAUGUCCGGGGCGACACACGUGCUACAAUGGCAUAUACAAUAAGACGCAAUAUCGCGAGAUGGAGCAAAUCUAAAAAAUAUGUCCCAGUUCGGAUUGGAGUCUGCAACUCGACUCCAUGAAGCCGGAAUCGCUAGUAAUCGUAGAUCAGCCAUGCUACGGUGAAUACGUUCCCGGGUC
rnacentral:rRNA from 1 species